rfam:Triticum urartu cultivar G1812 contig99412, whole genome shotgun sequence.
CAUGUACUCCCUCCGUUCCAAAAUAGAUGACUCAACUUUGUAUUAAGUUUAUAUAAAGUUGAGUCAUCUAUUUUGGAACGGAGGGAGUAUAUG